AAGGGUGUGGCUCAAGUGGUAGAGCACGUGCUUAGCAUGCACGAGGUCCUGGGUUCAAUCCCCAGUACCUCCA
rnacentral:tRNA from 1 species